GAGACAACCAGGAUAACAGUGAAGAGACCAUAGUGUGAAGAAGAGAGAAGCGCAGUAAACAAACAUCUAGCAAGAGAACCUUUUGGAUCCCAGCCUGCAUGCACGAUUUGUUUCAUGUGCCAGUAAUGAACUGCCCAAAGCCCUGCAAAACCUCAAGGAAAAUAGCGACAGCAAUGGUCUGGACCACUUCUUUGGUCUUCUUGGGGGUUAUUGGUUGGCUCCUCUGGCCACAGGCCAGGUGUCAUCCUCAACCUCACCACAGAAGAAGUCAUCGACUCUAAAGAGGGACAGCAUGG